rnacentral:lncRNA from 1 species
AUCCAUCAAUCUCCACUUGCCAUGGCUCAGUGACUCACAGAGCUUAGCUCGACUAGAUGGAGCAGGUGUAGCCGGUGGGAGGGGUCUUGCCGCAGGUGAGGAGGAGCUGGAGGGCGAGGGGGAGGACGAGGUUGAUGUUGAGGAGCUUCAGCCGGAUGGUGGUGCACAGGCACACCGCCGCCUCCAGCUCCACCAGCCCCUCCAGCAGCGGGCAGCACUUGUUCACCACCGGGUCGCCGAGGCCCACGUGCACCAGCCCGCCCAGCAGGUCCACGCACGCCCCGAUCUUCAGCGAGUCCACCGGGCACGUCUGCGCCGCGGGCGUCGCCGGCGGUGGAGGAGGGCACGGCGUGUUCACCGGAGGCGACGGGUACGUGACCGGGGGGUUGGUCACCGGCGGCGCGGGGUAGGUGACCGGAGGGGUGGUCACUGGUGGCGCCGGGUAGGUGACUGGAGGGGCGGUCACUGGUGGCGCGGGGUAGGUGACUGGCGGCGUGGGGUAGGUCACCGGCGGCCCGACGACGACGGGAGGAGCUGUGACCGGCGGGCGCGUGAUGGGGCCCUUGGGCGGACCGUAGACCGGCGGGCGGGGGACGUGGCCCUUCGGAGGGCCGACGACCGGUGGGCGAGGGACGUGACCCUUCGGCGGGCCGACGACCGGCGGGUGCGGGAGGUGGCCCUUGGGCGCCGGCGACGGGUAGGUGGGGCCCUUGGGUCCCGGCUUGGGGCCCUUGGUGGGGGGCUUGGUCUUGGGCGGGUGGGAGGGCUUGGGGGCCUUCGGCUUGUCGCAGUCGCAGUCGAUGGUGGACGCCGCGACGGCGGUGGUGAGGAGCAGGAGGAGGGUGAGCAGGAGCGGACGGAGCUUCUUCGUGCUCGCAGCCAUGGCUGCCAGCUGGUGGUAGUGGUGGACGAGCGUGGUGGUGUGGUGGACAGGAGGAGUGAUGCGUGCUUCUAGGGUUUGUGAGUACUGUAGUUUUAUAGAGCGAGCUGGGUGCGUGGGAUUGGAGGCCCGUGAUCUCGUCGGUGGCUAGGGUUUUCAAAUUGUGCGUGUGUGAUUGGGUGACUUACUGUGGACUGUGAUGUGUUGUUCGAAGCUUCACCAAUCACCACCCACGGGGCCAAAUUAUAUUACCUCCAAACGAAACACGCGUGAACUGAGACUUUCCAUUUCCUAGUCGUGUAGUGCGGUGCCUGAAAAAAAUCUAAUUAUGUUGGUCAAAUUUUUGGACUGUUAGAUCAUAAUCCAACAGCCAUGAUCCUGUGUGCACUAUUAGUCUUCAUCGUCUAGUUGUCUUCCUCCUGCCGCCUGAUCCCCCACAGGCCCACUGCCUGCUUCCACUACCUACAGUCGGCGGCGCUCUCGCGGUCGCCUCGCCGCCCCGCCCUCCCUUGCCCUCAUCAACCACCAGAUUUCUUCGGCGACCCCUCACCCCACCCCCUCAACCCGCACCAGUCAACAUGUUCCUUCGCCUUCACCUAGGACAUCGAAGCUCACAGUCUCGAACAGAGGAAGGGCAAGGUCCAGCCCGAAAGUUGCCGGAUGCACCGCUGUGGCUUCCAAGCCGGCGACGAUGUCCGCAGUGGCGACCGCGGAUGGGGGGCUACAGCGUCGGCGCUAGCAGCGGAGCUACGAGACGUCCGGGGUAAAAGAGGAAGAAGAGACGAGAGCGCAAAUGAAAUCGGUAGGUCAAGAGGUGUAUUUGGCGCAAUUUGUGAUGGUGUCGUGGUGUUGGGUCCGACGUGGAGGUCGCGCCCGAGCCACCCUAUAUCUGUCCUACAUUUAGGCUGGAUAUAAGGAUGCCGGUCAGCCUGUUCAUUUAGGUCGCAUUUUUUUUUUCAGCCCGGGCAUUUAGGUCGCAUUUUUUUUUACGUCCAGACGUUUGAGGCGUCCGGCUGUAGAUGACAUCAAGAUCCUCUUAGUACCACUGCAAAUUACCACCACAGAUGAUCCUUUUGGUAGCACUGCAAAUUACCACCGACAUUGAAAAGAGAUAUAAUCCGUGCAUGCACUGUCGCAGUCAUGCAUGCGUGAACCAACAUACUCCUGGUCACUAUCGAUGUCCAAUCCAAUCCCGACUGGUCACUCUGGAACAGCUCUGUGAAUUAUUCAUGACAUGGAAUCUUACUACUACUGUUUACUUGUUUCCUUCUUCUUAUUUGCUAGCUUAAUCAGUUGGUCAUCAGUUGUGACCAAUUAAUUGAUCAGCACACAUCGAUUAUCACCUCUGGCAUCAAACCACAACACACAGGCCUAGCCAAACACAAAAUAAAAAUCACAAGAAAAACAAACAGUACUCAUCGAUGCAUUCUUAGCUGAUCGAUCGAUCUCUUCUUGCUACUAGCUAGACGACGACCAUCGACAUCCUCUCAUGUCGAUCCAUCCAUGCAUCCAUCUCCACGUGCACUGGCACUGUGGCACACUGACUCGCCGAGGUUAGGUCGACUAGAUGGAGCAGGUGAAGCCGGGUGGCGGGGUCUUGCCGCAGGUGAGGAGGAGCUGGAGGGCGAGGGGCAGGGCGAGGUUGAUGUUGAGGAGCUUCAGCCGGAUGGUGGUGCAGAGGCACACCGCCGCCUCCAGCUCCACCAGCCCUUCCAGCAGCGGGCAGCACUGGUUCACCACCGGGUCGCCCAGGCCGAUAUGCACCAGCCCGCCCAGCAG